rnacentral:misc_RNA from 1 species
GCUGUGAGCCGCAGCUGUGACUCACUCGUGCUGCAGAACAAAACAGGAAGUCAGAAGCUGAAUGAUGACCCUCCCCCGUCUGCAGACUGCGCUCAGGCUUUAGUGGCUCCACUGUCCGCGAGACUUGCGGCAAACAACGAUAACAAAGUGCAGGCAACUGAAGAAGCAGGUGCGAUCCAGAAAAGCGAACAAAUCCUUGAAACUAACAUCGACCAACUGGACAAGCGAUCAUCUCAGAGCGGCACCAAACCGUACACAGAUAUAAAUAGAUUCACAAAUUGUGUAGUCCAGUUAUACGACAUAUUCAAGAAACCCAAACAAGCUGUACCAGAUGAGAAACCACGCGUGAGAAUCCACACUGCUGCCAAGCCUUACUCUUGUCAGAUAUUGAACUAUAAAUGUGCACACUGGCGAAAAGCCAUUUUCUUGUGAUAUAUGUAAUUACAAAUGUGCGCGAAAAGGUCAUUUAUUAA